rnacentral:rRNA from 1 species
GUAAUUAUUGCUAAAGUGUUAUACCCGAUCCCAUUCCGAACUCGGAAGUCAAGCCUUUAUGCGCCGAUGGUACUUGUCUUAAGGCAUGGAAGAGUAGGACGUUGCCGG